GGUGGUAUAUUUUAAAAAAAAUUUUAUUUUGCAAAAGUAAAGAUACUUGGAUAAGUUACCAUCU
rnacentral:tRNA from 1 species